CCAAUAGCGUAUAUUAAAGUUGUUGCAGUUAAAAAGCUCGUAGUUGAAUUUCGGGAUUGACGUGAUGGUCAUGCCUUAAGGGGUAUGAACUGUUACUGUUGAUUUCUCACCUUCUGGAGAAACUUGAUGUCCUUUAUUGGGUGUCUUGCGGAUCCAGGACCUUUACCUUGAAAAAAUUAGAGUGUUUAAAGCAGGCAUUUUUGCUCGAAUACAUUAGCAUGGAAUAAUAGAAUAGGACGGCAUGGUUCUAUUUUGUUGGUUUCUAGGAUCACCGUAAUGAUUAAUAGGGAUAGUUGGGGGCAUUAGUAUUCAAUUGUCAGAGGUGAAAUUCUUGGAUUUAUUGAAGACUAACUACUGCGAAAGCAUUUGCCAAGGAUGUUUUCAUUAAUCAAGAGCGAAAGUUAGGGGAUCGAAGACGAUCAGAUACCGUCGUAGUCUUAACCAUAAACUAUGCCGACUAGGAAUCAGACGAUGUUAAUUUUUUAAUGACUCGUUUGGCACCUUACG
rnacentral:rRNA from 1 species